AACGUCGGCUUGAAAUUGCCGCGAGAGUGCCGGGACAUGACGGCAGAGGCCUCCCGCCGAUGCACGGGACUGCAAUUCUCUUCUGAAUCUUCAUCCAAAUCACCGGGCAGGCGAGCUGCGGCGGAGAAGACCCCCCCCUCCGGACAGUAGGAAUGUGGGCACCGCUCAGUUUUGACCUCGCCCGGACAAUCCCAACCGGCCGCAGAAAUGGACAUCGGCCAAAGUCCACACCCACAGAUUCAAAGUCUCUUGCCGUACGUAGCCCCCGAUUGUGUCCGCAACUGGAGCAAGGUCGUCUCCCGGCAGCUGGCGAAAGUCAGGCCUCCCCCGGCGAUACAGUUCUUCACGCCUUCGUCACAUCCCGUCUGGAUCGCUGUCAUGCACUUGACUUUGGAGUCAGCCAAACCUCCAUGAAGCGUCUCCAGUUGCUCCAGAAUGCUGCUGCU